CCUAGGAAUCUGCCUGGUAGUGGGGGACAACGUGAUGCUUUCGAAAGGAACGCUAAUACCGCAUACGUCCUACGGGAGAAAGCAGGGGACCUUCGGGCCUUGCGCUAUCAGAUGAGCCUAGGUCGGAUUAGCUAGUUGGUGGGGUAAUGGCUCACCAAGGCGACGAUCCGUAACUGGUCUGAGAGGAUGAUCAGUCACACUGGAACUGAGACACGGUCCAGACUCCUACGGGAGGCAGCAGUGGGGAAUAUUGGACAAUGGGCGAAAGCCUGAUCCAGCCAUGCCGCGUGUGUGAAGAAGGUCUUCGGAUUGUAAAGCACUUUAAGUUGGGAGGAAGGGCAGUAAGCUAAUACCUUGCUGUUUUGACGUUACCGACAGAAUAAGCACCGGCUAACUCUGUGCCAGCAGCCGCGGUAAUACAGAGGGUGCAAGCGUUAGCUGAAAUUACUGGGCGUAAAGCGCGCGUAGGUGGUUCGUUAAGUUGGAUGUGAAAGCCCCGGGCUCAACCUGGGAACUGCAUCCAAAACUGGCGAGCUAGAGUACGGUAGAGGGUGGUGGAAUUUCCUGUGUAGCGGUGAAAUGCGUAGAUAUAGGAAGGAACACCAGUGGCGAAGGCGACCACCUGGACUGAUACUGACACUGAGGUGCGAAAGCGUGGGGAGCAAACAUGCUUAGAUACCCUGGUAGUCCACGCCGUAAACGAUGUCAACUAGCCGUUGGAAUCCUUGAGAUUUUAGUGGCGCAGCUAACGCAUUAAGUUGACCGCCUGGGGAGUACGGCCGCAAGGUUAAAACUCAAAUGAAUUGACGGGGGCCCGCACAAGCGGUGAGCUGAGUUGGUUUAAUUCGAAGCAACGCGAAGAACCUAACCAGGCCUUUGACAUGCAGAGAACUUUCCAGAGAUGGAUGCUGAUCGAUGCUA
rnacentral:rRNA from 1 species